GACUUUGCCCCAUGCUUGAUGGCUGGCGUCGUCCGGGUCCGGUUCCCCUGUAGGCUGGACGGCCUCCUGCUUCUCGUGGAAGGGCGCCGCCGGCCCCACGCCGUCUUGCUUCUCGUGGAAGAGGUGAUCAGGCAGCGCCGCCGGCCAGACAGCGUCCUGCUUCUCGUGGAAGGGGUGGUCGGGCAACGCUGCCGGCCCGACGCCAUCCUGCUUCUCGUGGAAGGGGUGAUCAGGCAGCGCCGCCGGCCAGACAGCGUCCUGCUUCUCGUGGAAGGGGUGGUCGGGCAACGCUGCCGGCCCGACGCCAUCCUGCUUCUCGUGGAAGGCGUGGUCGGGCAACGCGGCCGGCCCGACGCCGUCCUGCUUCUC
rnacentral:lncRNA from 1 species